rnacentral:rRNA from 1 species
GGCUUAAUACAUGCAAGUCGAGCGGUCUCUUUCGGGAGACAGCGGCGGACGGGUUAGUAACGCGUGGGAACGUGCCCUUUAGUACGGAAUAGCCAUUGGAAACGAUGAUUAAUACCGUAUACGCCCUAUGGGGGAAAGAUUUAUCGCUAAAGGAUCGGCCCGCGUUAGAUUAGGUUGUUGGUGGGGUAAUGGCCUACCAAGCCUACGAUCUAUAGCUGGUUUGAGAGGAUGAUCAGCAACACUGGGACUGAGACACGGCCCAGACUUCUACGGAAGGCAGCAGUAGGGAAUCUUGGACAAUGGGCGAAAGCCUGAUCCAGCCAUGCCGCGUGAGUGAUGAAGGCCCUAGGGUUGUAAAACUCUUUCGCCAGGGAAGAUAAUGACGGUACCUGGUAAAGAAACCCCGGCUAA